rnacentral:rRNA from 1 species
UACGUAGGGGGCAAGCGUUGUCCGGAAUCAUUGGGCGUAAAGAGCGUGUAGGCGGCUCGGUAAGUCCGCUCUGAAAGCCCGGGGCUCAACCCCGGGAGGCGGGCGGAUACUGUCGGGCUAGAGUCCGGAAGAGGCGAGUGGAAUUCCUGGUGUAGCGGUGAAAUGCGUAGAGAUCGGGAGGAACACCAGAGGCGAAGGCGGCGACCUGGACAAUUACUGACACUCAACUGCGAAAGCGUGGGGAGCAAACAGG